rnacentral:sRNA from 1 species
GACUCCCUUAGAAGCCGAAAGUCGCCGACACGAGAU